rnacentral:rRNA from 1 species
UACGGUAGGUGGCAAGCGUUGUCCGGAAUUAUUUGGGCGUAAAGCGCGCGCAGGUGGUUCCUUAAGUCUGAUGUGAAAGCCCACGGCUCAACCGUGGAGGGUCAUUGGAAACUGGGGAACUUGAGUGCAGAAGAGGAAAGUGGAAUUCCAAGUGUAGCGGUGAAAUGCGUAGAGAUUUGGAAGGAACACCAGUGGCGAAGGCGACUUUCUGGUCUGUAACUGACACUGAGGCGCGAAAGCGUGGGGAGCAAACAGG